AACGAACGCUGGCGGCAGGCUUAACACAUGCAAGUCGAACGCAUCCUUCGGGGUGAGUGGCAGACGGGUGAGUAACGCGUGGGAACGUGCCCUUCAGUUCGGGAUAACCCAGGGAAACUUGGGCUAAUACCGGAUACGUGCGAGAGCAGAAAGAUUUAUCGCUGAAGGAUCGGACCGCGUCUGAGUAGCUAGGUGGUGGGGUAAUGGCCCACCAAGGCGACGAUCAGUAGCUGGUCUGGGAGGAUGAUCAGCCACAUUGGGACUGAGACACGGCCCAAACUCCUACGGGAGGCAGCAGUGGGGAAUAUUGGACAAUGGGCGCAAGCCUGAUCCAGCCAUGCCGCGUGAGUGAUGAAGGCCUUAGGGUUGUAAAGCUCUUUCGUCCGGGACGAUAAUGACGGUACCGGAAGAAGAAGCCCCGGCUAACUUCGUGCCAGCCGCCGCCGUAA
rnacentral:rRNA from 1 species